rnacentral:rRNA from 1 species
GUUCGUAGGCGGUGCGGUAAGUCGGAAGUGAAAUCUCUGGGCUUAACUCAGAGGCUGCUUUCGAAACUACCAUGCUAGAGUGCGGGAGAGGCGAGUGGAAUUGCAGGUGUAGCGGUGAAAUGCGUAGAUAUCUGCAGGAACACCCGUGGCGAAGGCGGCUCGCUGGACCGCAACUGACGCUGAGGAACGAAAGCUAGGGGGAGCAAACAGGAUUAGAUACCCUGGUAGUCCUAGCCCUAAACCAUCAGGACUUGGGGUGGCCCGCGUUGGCGGGUCGUCCCGGAGCUAACGCGUUAAGUCCUGCGCCUGGGGAGUACGGUCGCAAGGCUGA